rnacentral:rRNA from 1 species
CCUACGGGGGGCUGCAGUAGGGAAUAUUGCUCAAUGGGGGAAACCCUGAAGCAGCAACGCCGCGUGGAGGAUGAAGGUUUUCGGAUUGUAAACUCCUUUUGUUAGAGAAGAGAAUGACGGUAUCUAACGAAUAAGCACCGGCUAACUCCGUUCCAGCAGCCGCGUUAAUACGGAGGGUGCAAGCGUUACUCGGAAUCACAGGGCGUAAAGAGCGCGUAGGCGGGAUAGCAAGUCAGAUGUGAAAUCCUAUGGCUGAACCAUAGAACUGCAUUUGAAACUGUUAUUCUAGAGUAUGGGAGAGGUAGGUGGAAUUCUUGGUGUAGGGGUAAAAUCCGUAGAGAUCAAGAGGAAUACUCAUUGCGAAGGCGACCUGCUAGAACAUAACUGACGCUGAUGCGCGAAAGCGUGGGGAGCGAACAGGAUUAGAUACCCGAGUAGUC